UCACUAAGGGCAUCUGUCGUGUAUAGCACCUGACACCACACUGGUACAUUGUAGGGAGAGAUCCAGGUACCUGUGGCGCUGACCACGCCCGUUUUGGGUGUGGCCACAGGUGUGUGGAAUAAAGGGCUGAGGAGAGGGGCACUCACUCUCUUUCAGGGUUCUGGUCUGGUCUUGAAAGGUUGCAGAGACUAACCUGGGCUUUCGGUUUCUCAAGGGCAUGCCAGCAGCCCAACCUGACCCAGGCAAUUUCUCACUGAGACUCUCUUCCCAGGUGAUUCUAAACGUGGCAGCUUGCCGAUUAACCGCAGCACUAACCUUCACAGAGUAGGAGGCCAUGACGACGCAGAUGCUGUAGGAACGUGUAUGUGAAUCCCACCUGGAAUGCCAAAUUGCAUUUAGUCAUCAUGCCUCCUUCGGCUGCUCUUGGCCAUGAACAUUUCUCAAGCUUGUCUUAUUUUUGACAGCCUCAAGAGUUUUAAGAGACCUGAUCAGCCUUGCCGGGUCAAGCCCCGCCUUUGCAGGUGCGGAUCAAAUUCCCCACCCACUGAGCCCCAAACUCUGUGAACAGGUUGAAAGAGGCAAUCCAAAGAUGAAAAGGAGAAGCACCUGUUAGAGCUGGGCGAGAUGAAACAUCACCCAGCGAUGGCCAGUGUGGAAGAAGAAAGGGCUCUGUGACUACAAGCCUCUAUUUCCCAUUUUGCCCUCAACUACUUUUAGUACUGGUCUGUUCGGAUCCCUCCGCUAAGAAGCAAAACGGGAUUCUAAGAGAAUCCAGAGGCCAUUUUCUGUCUCUUUGGAGUCUUUGUUGGGAUUGCUGGGUUUCCCAUAGAUUUGCUCUUAGUGCUUUGAGAGCUAGGAGAGCUCAUCUUAAAAUCAACUCGGUGUUCAAGCCAGAAACCCGUUGCGAAAGAGAGAAAGGCGACUUGGAAGCUCGGACACACGUGACUACUCUCAUCCCUUUGAAGGGUGGCGCGUGUGAGCCUGCACGAGCUCCGUCCUCUGGCAUCCGCUGUACCUCCAGGGUACCCGAGGAAGCCCACGCUCCCUGUCCUCUCUCCUUCGUCUUCCUCCCACAACCCAUGUCCUGGCCCCACUAACAGCCAGAUCCUGUCGGGGACUAAGAGCACGUGCUUCUCCACCAGGGUAAAGCUGUCUCCAAGUGCUCCGCCGGCCGGCUGCCAGCUGUUCUCCCCACCCCCGUUCUAAGUUCCCACAGCUGUUGAGUUGGGCCCUGCUCUGAGCUGGAAUGUUCUGUGAAGAGAUGCAGAAGCAGUUCCAUUUAUUCAGGGAAGAAAGGAGACAUGACUGGGAGGGGCACCCAUCUGCCACAUGCUGGAGACCAGUCAGACCACACGUGAAUGGACACACAUGCUAGGAGGGCAGAACCCCAGGGAAGGGGUUUCAUUCCAGAAGGUUCCAAGAGCAAGGGCGAGCAGAGGACACGGGCGAUUGUGAGCAACAACAGGGUGGAGUAAGGAACCAGGAGGCCGUAUUUCCAGCAGCACUCGCUGGGAAAACUUUUCAUCCUGACAAGGCCCCAAGGCCACCACCCCACUCCAAAACCUGUGGAGGAAUGUACCUCAUACCAAGGACAAGUUAAUAGUUAAUCCGUUUUAUUCUGCCACUCUUCUACCAAAUGCCCAAUGCUGGCGCCAGAGUGAUGAACGACGGGAGCGUUCCCAGUCUCCUUCAACAUGCAACACACCGGGAACCAAACACGGGAGCUAUUGGAAACGGGUGUGGGCUUCGCGGAAACCGUGGUACCACGUUGGAAUCGGCACAGAAGGAAAGCGGGAAGCCGCUCUGGGUCUUCUCCAUCAGGCCAAUGACCACAAGCUAUUCUUCUUUCCGGGUCUACGCACACAGUUGCUCAGGGUGCCGAGAGACGUGUGGCCAGGCUAGACUGCAGCAGCCUAAACCGUGCAAAACAAGAGUGGGAGCGACCAAACAUUGGAAGGAAAACCCACCCGUGCAGUUGAGGGGACUCGGUGGCCCACAGUCACCUGUCUUCUGGAAGCCAAUCUAGCUCCCCAGGCAGUCCACCUGCCGCGGAAGACCUUGCUGUUGUUUCCAGGAAAUGAGAAAUGCACUCUGUGUGGCCCUGAACCUCACUCAAGGUAGGGGGCCUCUACUGCUCUGGCCAAAGGUUUGGGAGCUAAAAAGAGAGCCGCGGAGAUGACGGUAAACCAGGGGGCUGGCACAAUUCCACGUGGCGACGAAGGAGCCCUCGGGCACUGGGUCCAUCUCCAAACAAGAAACAAAGAGAAAGAAUUCAUGACCACAGAACCCCUUCCAAGCCCUCACCAGUACCCUGGCUGAACCUAGCUAUCGGCCCACAGGAAAAAGGAAGGCAGGAGGCUCGUUGGCUGCCAAGUCACAGCUGUGCCUCGGCUUCUGGCACGGGUGGCACUGUACGGGGAUCCAGGGCGGAAUGCAAAUAUUUUGGUUCCCGCUGGAGAACUAUGACACGGCUGUCAGUCAAGCCUCCACGCUGGGAGCAGGAGAGCUGCGGAAGGUUUUCAGUAGCGCUGGGCGCAGAUCCAUGCGGAUCUGGAGAUGCAGAGGGAGAGGUGACAGAGACGGGCAGCCCCCCCCCAGGUGUGAUGAAAGGUGAGGGAUGACUGAAAGGAGGGGCAGCAGGCGCCUUAGGAAGCGAGACAUCACCUGCUCGACACGCCUUGGUCCCUUGCACGUGGAAGGGGAGUCAGCUUCCCUGCAAGGGAAGGGCUGGGGUAGAUUUCACUUGCAGUGCAAGCACAAGAACUUCUGGUGAGUCUCGCUGUGCAAAACUAGAGGAGAUCACCUUCCAAGGCUGGGAGCGCCGGGCAGCACUCAAGCAGGCUUCCAUGAGAGCGGCUGCAGCAGUCACGGUCCAGCCGAAGCCUGUUAUUACAGUAGGCUUUCACUCCGCAUGGCUUUCACCUUCUAAGUCAACCUGAGACACGCUCAUACUUAAAGCUCAGCCCAAGUCCUAUCUCCAAGGCGCUGAGUGCUUUUACACACACACACACACACACACACACACACACACACACACACACACACAAGCUGAGUCAUGUUCAUACUUAAAGCUCAGCCCAAGUCCUAUCUCCAAGGCACUGAGUGCUUUUACACACACACACACACACACACACACACACACACAGGCGCGCAUGCAUGCGUACACAGGCACGUGCACACAUGCACACAACGCAU